rnacentral:rRNA from 1 species
UACGAAGGGGCUAGCGUUGCUCGGAAUCACUGGGCGUAAGGGUGCGUAGGCGGUCUUUAAGUCAGGGUGAAAUCCUGGAGCUCAACUCCAGAACUGCCUUUGAUACUGAGGAUCGUUGAGUUCGGGAGAGGGAAGUGGAACUCCGGGAGUAGCGGUGAAAUGCGUAGAGACCCGGACGGAACACCGGUGGCGAAGGCGGCUCCUGGUCGUGCAACUGACGCUGGUGGCGACGAAAGCUAGGGGGAGCAAACGGG